GUUAUCCGGAUUCACUGGGUUUAAAGGGUGCGUAGGUGGGUUGGUAAGUCAGUGGUGAAAUCUCCGAGCUUAACUUGGAAACUGCCAUUGAUACUAUCAGUCUUGAAUAUUGUGGAGGUCAGCGGAAUAUGUCAUGUAGCGGUGAAAUGCUUAGAUAUGACAUAGAACACCAAUUGCGAAGGCAGCUGGCUACACAUAUAUUGACACUGAGGCACGAAAGCGUGGGGAUCAAACAGG
rnacentral:rRNA from 1 species